rnacentral:rRNA from 1 species
AGAGCGAACGCUGGCGGCAGGCCUAAUACAUGCAAGUCGAACGGACCCUUCGGGGUUAGUGGCGGACGGGUGAGUAACACGUGGGAACGUGCCCUUUGGUUCGGAACAACUCAGGGAAACUUGAGCUAAUACCGAAUGUGCCCCCUCCUUUGAUUAGGGGGGUGGGAAAGAUUUAUCGCCAUUGGAGCGGCCCGCGUCUGAUUAGCUAGUUGGUGGGGUAAAGGCCCACCAAGGCUACGAUCAGUAGCUGGUCUGAGAGGAUGAUCAGCCACACUGGGACUGAGACACGGCCCAGACUCCUACGGGAGGCAGCAGUAGGGAAUCUUGCGCAAUGGGCGAAAGCCUGACGCAGCCAUGCCGCGUGAAUGAUGAAGGUCUUAGGAUUGUAAAAUUCUUUCAGCGGGACGAUAAUGACGGUACCGCAGAAGAAGCCCGGCUAACUUCGCGCCAGCAGCCGC